ACAAUAAUAAUGAGAGAUAAUAGAACCCCCCCUAAAAGAAAAUUGGGUCCACCACAUUGAUGAAGAAAACUAGCUAAAGUCAGGCUUCUCUGGGUAGGUGCACCCUGAUCUUUGAAUGAUCACAUUUGAGGCAUAGCAUCCAGCUCUCACACAUUCCUCAAUCGGCUUUUCUUUCACCAAUUGUGACAAAAAUCCUCCAACAAACGCAUCACCUAAACACACAAAUCAAAACCAUUUUAGCAAAUCUAUUUUCAUCAUACAUACUGUAAUAACAUACCAUGAGAAAAAAUACAAUACAAACCUGCUCCAUUGGUGUCAACAAGCUUCUCCUUUGGCAACAAGAUGACUGGAUACUUUGAAACUUUUCCAUCUUGAGCAACCACAACUGGAUCAGCUCCCUGAGUGAUCACAGUGAUCCUCUUGUAUGUCCCUGAUGCUUUAGGCCACUGAGAGAUCUUAAUUGCAAUCUCCUCCACAUUAUCAGUCUGUAAAAGUAAAACAUCAUAACCCAAUUUUUAUAUAAAAAAGUUUGUCAUGUCAUAUCAUCUUUCAACCAAUCUUUUUCUUCUUACCUCCCACCCAUGAACCUUUGAGAAUGUUCUUGCUUCAGUUUCGUUUCCAA
rnacentral:lncRNA from 1 species